GUGUUCAUACCUUUUUCCUUUUAUACAAAUGAGAAACAUGAAGCUUGGAGAGAUAGAACGACUUUUCCAAAGGUCACACACAGCGAGGGGUGUACGGGGCUGCAGUGUAGGAGGGGCAGACCCGGGCGGCAGCUGGGAAGCCAGGCCGCAGCGGCCGCCAGUUCCUGUCCCAGACACUGGUUGAUGCCGAUGAGGAUGGAAACCCCGUCUUACGCCAAAGUGCUUUCUUUGCUCCUCUAAGCGGUGAUCCCACAUGGGCGUGAUGAACAGCGCUGCAGUAUGCUGCAGAGCCGCUGCAAACGGCGUGAUAUAGGCAAGAUGCUGGGAAGUCCUGGGUGAAAGAGAUGCCUUUGCUUCCCACUUCUUAGAGCUCUUCAGAUGUUGGUGAGCGCUGUGAAGCACCUUGGGGAGAAGGGAACGGAGCAUUCCCCACACUUGUUUCACUCUAAGAAAUGUGCAUGUCUUCCUGAGCGUCUCGCUGCAGGGCAUGCCAGUUUGGGAAACACUAUCCUAAAACUAUGUGCACGAAAUGCUGGAGGGUGGAGGUAGUUUAAUUAGGCCAUGUAAGAUUCAUGAUCUCCCCCUCCAAUCUGAUUUCCUCCUUUUCUCAACAGCCCGCCAAAGCGGAUGAGCUGCCCAUCGUGGGAAGGCUCUGGAGUCAACUGCCUGGGUUCACAACCAGCGCUCAUCACUUACUAGUUGUGUGGCCUUGGUGAAGUCACGCUUUUCUAGGCUUGCUUCCGUCAUCAAAUUAUGAUAUCUGGUUGCUGGUGUUCUGGCAAGGAUGAGAUGAGUCUCCAUAAAGUAGAUCAGGCACUUGGCCCUGCACCCAAAUGCCCAGUUUGCUUUGACGCUACCAAGCACACCUCCACCCAGGGCUCUCCUUUUCCCCAGCUCUGCUCUGCAAAACGCCCUUCUUCUAGCAAGGCCUAUUUUUUGGGUUUCUUUGUUUGUUUCCUUUUUCUUUUUUUUCACAACACACGGGUAAUAACCCUUAACAAGGUUUGAGGGACGCACAUCUCACACAUGUGCGUGAACACCCAACCAUCAUGCUUAUGAGCUACAAAGGGAUCAAGGCCCACGUUUGCAGCUUAUUCAGGAAAGCUUUGCUUAACCCAGCCCUUCCCACCUCCAUCCCUCAAAGGCCACAGUGCUUUUCAUUGUAAAGAGCCUGUGCUCUGGCUGCUUAGCCCCCACUUUAGAGUAAACAUUCCCCGAGGCCAGGGAUGGUUCUUCAGGCUCCAGCCAGAGCAGAAGGACACUCGAGGAACACUCAGAUAAACAGGCCUUGACUGCGCCAAGUAUGGGCCAAGUGUUGGGACAGCUGAGUGUCGGGCAAGGAUGAAGAAGGCUUGGUCCCAGCUCUGCACAGCUCAGUGGGGAAGACAGAUGCACGGAGACAAUGACGGAGUUUCACUCUUGUAGACCAGGCUGGAGUGCAAUGGCGCAAUCUCACCUCACCGCAACCUCCGCCUCCAGGGUUCAAGCAAUUCUCCUGCCUCUGCCUCCUGAGUAGCUGGAAUUACAGGCACACGCCACCAUGCCCGGCUAAUUUUGUAUUUUUACUAGAGACGGGAGUUCUCUGUGUUGGUCAGGCUGGUCUUGAACUCCCCACCUGAGGUGAUCUGCCCACCUCCGCCUCCCAAAGUGCUGGGAUUACAGGCCUCAGUGCUUCUUAAUAAACAUAGUGCUCACUGUG